rnacentral:lncRNA from 1 species
AUGCCUGAUGGCCCAGGAGGUCAGCUGAAGCAGGGAGUCACAGGGACCGAGCAGCCUAACGCUGGUCUCCUGACUGGGCUGUGGGGUGCAGAGGACACACGGUUUUGUACUGUCAUGCUGCACACACGGGCCUGUGAGUGCACCACAUAUGGAGCCUCGUACGGAACAUGGCUGUGGCAUCUGGGGACUGCACAGGGACAGGCCGUGCCUGGAGAUGGUGAGGAGCUCGCCUGGGGGCUGCCUCCACUAGCAAACCAGCCCACGUGGAGCUGCAUAGCGGCCUCUGCCGCCUUCAUGUCCCCUCACUGCGCCCACCCUGCUCACCUAGCACCAGCUGCCAGACAUCCCCUGUGCCCAGAACCUGCUGAGGUCACUCACACUACUCCCAAACCUGCUACACUCUGCCUCACCUGUUCCUUCCCAUGGAAGUUACAGUAACUGGCCAGCUGACCCUGGUGCUCCCGUGAGCCCCCCAACCCCAGCAGGUCCACCCCUUGGGGACUGUGGGUAACGAGCUGCCUUCUGAUCUGAUGGCUGCCUCCCACACCCAAGUGGUAAUAAAACCUACAUUUUCGGGCA